rnacentral:lncRNA from 1 species
AGCGGAGUGCAGUUUUUAGGAUAUCGGUUGGGGUCAACGACAACUACCCCAGCUGGUAUCAAUAUCGUGCCCCGAGUGCGUAACCUGUGGGACGUGCAGAAGCUCGUUGGAGCCCUCCAAUGGGUGCGGGGAGCCUUGGCGAUUCCCCCGCGCCUCAUGCAGCCCUUCUAUGAGCAGCUUAAGGGCUCUGACCCAAAUGACCCGCGGUCAUUCACACCAGAAAUGGAGGAGGCGUGGAAAGAGAUAAUUGGUUCCUGCAUGCAAUCCGCUCUGUCGCGAUACAAUCCAGAUGAAGGGCUGGAAGUGGCCGUGUGCCAAUGCGAAAAAGGGGCGGCGGCAGUUAUAGGCCACGACCUUGACGCAAGGCCAAAACCACUGUGGUGGCAUUUCUCUGUCCAGCCAUCUCGAGCCUUCUCUGCGUGGCUAGAAAUACUGGCUUGGCUUUUGCGAAAGAGCCGGAAUACCGUCGUUCAUGUCUUCGGCAAGGAGCCGGCAACCAUCUUCCUUCCAUCGUCCUUCCGGGAUACUCAGCCAUUCCCGGAUGCAAUUGUGCUCGCCCUGGAGGGGACAGGGGCGUCCAUUAGGUAUUGCACCUCCCUCCCCAUCUUCGAACUGGCCAGGCCUAUAAGCUUGUCCCUGCGGUGUAGGGUGCAAGACUUGCCCGUGGAAGAGCCUACCCUGUUUACCGAUGCGUCAUCAUCAACGGGCCAAGGGGCGGUGGUGUGGGAAACAAAUGGCCGCUGGGAGUCCACAAUCUUCACAGAUCCUAGUGCCAGUGUCCAGAUGCUUGAGGUCAGGGCUGUUGCAAUGGCAAUCGCUUAUUGGCCUUCCCUUCCCUGCAACAUAGUCACAGAUUCAGUUUUUGCGGCUAAGCUCGCUUUGAAAAUGGGCCAAGAAGGUAUCCCUAGUACGGAAGCAGCGCUUAUUUUAGAAGAUGCUCUGAGCACCCGAGUGGAGCCUAUAGCAAUUUUACAUGUGAGAAGUCAUUCGGAGGUACCAGGAUUCUUCACGGAGGGUAACGCCAAGGCAGAUGCCGCAGCAGGUAUUCGAGUCUUCACAUUGAGAAAGGC